CAGCCGCCGCGGGAAUACGAAGGGUGCAAGCGUUAAUCGGAAUUACUGGGCGUAAAGCGUGCGCAGGCGGUUGUGUAAGACAGGUGUGAAAUCCCCGGGCUUAACCUGGGAACUGCGCUUGUGACUGCACAGCUAGAGUAUGGCAGAGGGGGGUGGAAUUCCACAUGUAGCAGUGAAAUGCGUAGAGAUGUGGAGGAACACCGAUGGCGAAGGCAGCCCCCUGGGCCAAUACUGACGCUCAUGCACGAAAGCGUGGGGAGCAAACAGGAUUAGAUACCCCUGUAGUCCCUGUCUCUUAUAC
rnacentral:rRNA from 1 species